UUACUUGGGAAUUUCUGCCAUCUCCUAUUCUGCCAGCUGCCACAAUAUUUGCAAAAACUGAUUGCUUAGUAAAAAUGUUCAUCCUGGGGAAAAGUUUUUGCCCUCUUCCCUGUUCUCUACGUGGUCUUUUUCUAGUUAUUUUUCAUAUUUUAUAUGCUGCGUAGUUGCUUAAUGGAAAAAUUUAGCCGCAGAGUCCCUGGAAUGGCAUAGUAGAAAAGUGCGGUGUAAAAACAUGUAACCAACAAAUAUUUUAGAAUCAAAACCAAAUGGGGAUUGGCAGGAAAAAACCCAACAAAUUACUUAUGUUAUGUUUACAGGAAAUCGCUGUACAGAAGGCUACCUCAGAUUUUGAUGAGCAGGCAUGGCUGUCACGCUGCAUACUGAUGUGGGAGAUAUUAAAAUUGAACUAUUCUGUGAGCGUACUCCAAAGACUUGUGAAAAUUUCCUGGCUCUUUGUGCUAGUAACUACUACAAUGGAUGCGUAUUUCACCGAAAUAUAAAGGGCUUCAUGGUUCAGACAGGGGAUCCAUUAGGCACUGGGAAAGGAGGUAACAGCAUCUGGGGCAAGAAGUUUGAAGAUGAAUUCAGUGAAUAUCUAAAGCACAGUGUCCGUGGGGUAGUUUCCAUGGCAAACAAUGGUCCCAACACCAAUGGAUCACAGUUCUUCAUCACUUAUGGCAAACAGCCACACCUGGACAUGAAGUACACGGUGUUUGGAAAAGUUAUUGAUGGCUUGGAGACCCUGGAUGAGCUGGAGAAGCUGCCUGUGAAUGAGAAAACCUAUCGACCUCUUAAUGAUGUUCGCAUUAAAGACAUUACAAUUCAUGCCAACCCCUUUGCUCUGUAGCCACAGAAUGGUGCAACACAUUCUGCAGAGACUGGUCAGAUAAUUCCCAGAUUAUGGGCUUUAAAGAGCCAUCAAAAAGGGUUACUUCAGCUGGAUCAUAUCUUUGCUUAUUGAAUGCAGAAUUUUCAGAAGCUUUAACAUUGUUUGGGAGUUGUCACAGAGAAGUCUUCUGCUUCAGAAGCCAGGUUUUCCAGAGUAUCUUCCAGCAUUUUGAUUUUUAAGCAUUGUUUUUUAUACUUGUAAAAUAAAAAAGCUUUAAUUUUUUUUCUAAUAUUUGGUUUUUGCAUUAUCUUUCUGAGUGAUGUUAUGUUAAUGCAAUGUUCUUUGCUAUAAUUUCAUGCUACCAGUUUUGUGCAACUUUCUCAUAAAGUGUCAUCUUCCUUAGUCAGUUUUCUCAAAAGAGUAAAGUAAAAUACACAUUUUUUUUCCCUAGGUGAGAGCAGUGUCAUAAAUAGAUGAAACCUUUCCCUCCCAGAAGAUUAAAGAACAUAUUUAGAGAAGUGUUUGCUCUUGUGCUGCUGUGUUGGAAUGAUAACAUCUUUAGCCUUCCCAAAAGAUAGGUGGGAGUAAUUUCUUCUGCUUCUGGCACAACACUAUUGCUAUGAAAGAACUAGGGGGUAAACAAAGAGCAUUGUCAAAAAGGCUGUGGUC